UUCUUUUGUGUGUAUUUGUGACGGAGCACCGGCUCUGCAGUGAACAGUUAGAUAUGUGGUUGGGCCCAAUAAAGACUCUUUCCAGACUGGUAAGCUCUGUUACUGUUGUUACCUAAACAGUCUCUCCAACUAAACAUACUCUCUAAUCACACAUAUACUCUAACCAGGCUAACCACUGAUUUCUCUUUCUAUCUUUCUUUUAUUUCUUCUGUUUGUCUUUGUGACGGAGCACCAGCUCUGCAGUGAACAGUCAUCAACAUGUGGUGCGGCCCAAAGAUCUGGUCACACAGACUGAUCAGCCCAAUGACUUGGUGAAUGAAGAGGAGAAGCAGCAAGAAGUGGAUUUUUUUGCCAACCAGUUGCUUUACAUAUAAAAAAAGAGGAGUAAUAAAUCGAGAAAGCCCUUG